GACGAACGCUGGCGGCGUGCUUAACACAUGCAAGUCGAACGGAGAUGCUCCAGCUUGCUGGAGUGGAUCAGUGGCGAACGGGUGAGUAACACGUGAGCAACCUGCCCCAGACUCUGGAAUAAGCGCUGGAAACGGCGUCUAAUACUGGAUACGAAACUGGCCCGCAUGGGCAUGGUUUGGAAAGUUUUUCGGUUUGGGAUGGGCUCGCGGCCUAUCAGCUUGUUGGUGAGGUAAUGGCUCACCAAGGCGACGACGGGUAGCCGGCCUGAGAGGGCGACCGGCCACACUGGGACUGAGACACGGCCCAGACUCCUACGGGAGGCAGCAGUGGGGAAUAUUGCACAAUGGGCGAAAGCCUGAUGCAGCGACGCCGCGUGAGGGAUGACGGCCUUCGGGUUGUAAACCUCUUUCAGCAGGGAAGAAGCGAAAGUGACGGUACCUGCAGAAGAAGCACCGGCUAACUACGUG
rnacentral:rRNA from 1 species